CCUACGGGAGGCAGCAGUGGGGAAUAUUGCACAAUGGGGGAAACCCUGAUGCAGCGACGCCGCGUGAGUGAAGAAGUAUUUCGGUAUGUAAAGUUCUAUCAGCAGGGAAGAAAAUGACGGUACCGGAUUAAGAAGCCCCGGCUAACUACGUGCCAGCAGCCGCGGUAAUACGUAGGGGGCAAGCGUUAUCCGGAUUUACUGGGUGUAAAGGGAGCGUAGACGGCAGCACAAGUCUGGAGUGAAAGGCCGGGGCUUAACCCCGGAACUGCUUUGGAAACUGUGCAGAGAGAGGGCAGGAGAGGUAAGUGGAAUUCCCAGUGUAGCGGUGAAAUGCGUAGAUAUUAGGAGGAACACCAGUGGCGAAGGCGGCUUACUGGACUGUAACUGACGUUGAGGCUCGAAAGCGUGGGGAGCAAACAGGAUUAGAUACCCUUGUAGUC
rnacentral:rRNA from 1 species